AUUACGGGGUGCAGCAGGCGCGAAAACUUUACAAUGCCGGCAACGGCGAUAAGGGGACCUCGAGUGCCAGGUUACAAAUCUGGCUGUCGUGAUGCCUAAAAAGCAUUGCAUAGCAAGGGCCGGGCAAGACCGGUGCCAGCCGCCGCGGUAACACCGGCGGCUCGAGUGGUAACCGUUAUUAUUGGGUCUAAAGGGUCUGUAGCCGGCCGGAUAAGUCUCUUGGGAAAUCCAGCAGCUCAACUGUUGGGCUUUCAGGAGAUACUGUCUGGCUCGAGGCCGGGAGAGGUGAGAGGUACUUCAGGGGUAGGGGUGAAAUCUUGUAAUCCUUGAAGGACCACCAGUGGCGAAGGCGUCUCACCAGAACGGACCUGACGGCAAGGGACGAAAGCUAGGGGCACGAACCGGAUUAGAUACCCGGGUAGUCCUAGCCGUAAACGAUACUCGCUAGGUGUCGGCCACGGUGCGACCGUUGUCGGUGCCGUAGGGAAGCCGUGAAGCGAGCCACCUGGGAAGUACGGCCGCAAGGCUGAAACUUAAAGGAAUUGGCGGGGGAGCACAAU
rnacentral:rRNA from 1 species